CAAAAAAUAGUUUAAUUAGAAUCUUAGCUUUGGGGGCUAAGGGCGGGAGUUCAAAUCUCCUUUUUUUGA
rnacentral:tRNA from 1 species